rnacentral:rRNA from 1 species
UACGGAGGAUGCGAGCGUUAUCCGGAUUUAUUGGGUUUAAAGGGUGCGUAGGCGGCAUUAUAAGUUAGUGGUAAAAUAUUGGGGCUUCACCUCACUACGCCAUUAAUACUGUAGAGCUAGAGAACAGACGAGGUAGGCGGAAUAAGUUAAGUAGCGGUGAAAUGCAUAGAUAUAACUUAGAACACCGAUAGCGAAGGCAGCCUGCUGGACUGUAACUGACGCUGAUGCUCGAAAGUGUGGGUAUCAAACAGG